rnacentral:rRNA from 1 species
UACGUAGGGGGCUAGCGUUGUCCGGAAUCAUUGGGCGUAAAGAGCGUGUAGGCGGUCCGGUAAGUCCGCUGUGAAAGUCGGGGGCUCAACCCUCGAAAGCCGGUGGAUACUGUCGGGCUAGAGUUCGGAAGAGGCGAGUGGAAUUCCCGGUGUAGCGGUGAAAUGCGCAGAUAUCGGGAGGAACACCUAUGGCGAAGGCAGCUCGCUGGGACGUUACUGACGCUGAGACGCGAAAGCGUGGGGAGCAAACAGG